GAAUCCAAUUCAAUUGGACUUGAUCCAAAAAUAAUUACUCAAUCAAAUUGAGUUAAUUAGUGAUCAAAUCACUAAAUAAAUCUUUCAUAAAUACUGAGCCCAAAUUCGAUGGGCAAUCGAGCAUCAGAGUCCAUCGAUAUGAAACCCUGAUCAAAAAGUCCCAAACCAGUGGGACCCUUGACCCCGGUACCCAAAAUAUCUGAAACUCAUGAUUAGAGAAUCCUGAUUCUCGAUCACAGAGUUUCAGACAUAUAGGACUCAAAGUCCACGAGCAUUAGGACUCUUCACUAGCCAUC
rnacentral:lncRNA from 1 species